rnacentral:rRNA from 1 species
UACGUAGGGUGCAAGCGUUGCCGGAUUUAUUGGGCGUAAAGGGCGCGUAGGCGGCUCGGCACGUCCGGUUGUGAAAAUUCGCCCGGCUCAACUGGGCGGGGUCAGCGGAUACGGUCGGAGCUUGAGCAAGCGUAGGGGGCAAUGAAUUCCCGGUGUAGUGGUAGGAAUGCGUAGAUAUCGGGAGGAACACCAGUGGCGAAGGCG